CAGCUGCUUGAAACAGAGUAAUUUGACAUAGUAGGUCAGCCACUGGUCACAGGUGGGACUAUUUGGGAGGCAUAGUGUCCUACCUUGGAGUAAAAAUGAAUGAAAUGAAUGCUCAAACUGGUACAGGGUGGGAGAUGUGUGAGACCUCCCUGUUUGGGUAUCACUGAGAUAUUUUAUCGGUGUUACUGAAUGUGGAAGUGUCCUCUGAGAUUGCAGUGAGUCCAGGAUGCCAGUGCAAGGGAGCCCUUCACCACUUGCGUUGACUGACUGUGCCAGGUCUUCAGUGUGUUGGUGCUGGGGUGUCUUCAUGCAGCCACAUGGUUCUCUGGAUCAGUAGGUUGACCCAGGUGAAAGUGGAUGAACAGGAUCUUGUAGCUGGCAAGACAGAAACCCAUGGCUAAGUAACUUGGAAGCCAAAGACUGGGAUACCAACCAUCCUGCAUGUGGAACUUGGCAGUUCCUCAGAAAGGCAGUUAUUAAGAGUUUGAAAAUAAAAAGGAACAUAAACAUACGAUUCCAAGAAUGGUGAUGCAUGUCUUCUAAUAAUCAAAUUCCUUUGAAGUGUUUCAGUUUUAAUACCCAAAUCACUAACUUUGCAAAAAUCUGGUAUCUGCCUCUUCUCCUAGGCUCUUCAGGUGAAUGAGUACAGGGAUCUCUACUUCUGUGGUGAGAAGAAUUCAAAUGCUACAGUGUUUGUGGGAGGUACAGGCAGUUGUCCCCCCAAUAUUUCAGAAGAAAUGUGUUCUGGUGAAGCAUACCUGUGCAGCCAGGGAAUCGCACCGACCAGCUGGGCAAUGUGGGAAAACAUAGUGGCUCUCUUCUGCAUGACUGUUAUCUUCCUUAUCAUUGCCUAUGCAAAACUCCGGUUUAUGAGAAAGUUCACAUAGAAUCCUGCGUUGCUUUGGUCUGCAGCUUCUCAGGUCUUAAAACCGCAAAGCCUGUUAGGGCCCACUGGAGAUUGCCAGAAUAUUUCAGCUAAGUUUACUGGACUUCAGAUGGGAACCCUGUCCUCCUGUUUCUGGAGUAUGAUCUCCUUAGGAUUGUAUGAUUGUGGUUUGUAAGAAGACAUGCAUUAAUGUACGCUGCGUAAGUGAUUUUUUCUAAGACAAUAUAACUCUCCUAAUUCCUUAGGUAUAUAUCAAACUAUAUAUUGUAAAGCAUUAUUAUUCUGUGGCCAGCUUAUACUGGAAAUAUUCCUUUGAACAUGUGAGCUUCUCCAUCACGAAAGGUAUAAGGUGAUGGUGGCAUUUAUGCAUUGCUAGUGCCUGUCACAUCUGAGGAGAGCUAGAGACCAUUCCCAGUGUUUUGGAGAUGCAUUUGAAUUUGAAGUGAGUAUGGGGUAUGAGCUGUCCUUGCCAAGCAAGAAUAUUUAUACUUUUGGUAGCUUCUCAGUGGAAGCUACUUGCAGAAACAACUUUUGCUUCAUUAAAAACUAAACAGCAGUGGUGUAACACAUCUCAUCUAAGAAGAGUGAGAAAUAUAUACUGCUGUACUGUAAAAAAAAAAACCCACAUCACACCAAACAACUUUCCCCCCUCUGACCAACAGCAAAAAAUAUAUUUACUACUUAAAAGGAGAGGAAAUUACCUUUUUCUUUAUUUUUUUAAAUAAAAAUUUGUAUACUUAGCACUGGCAGAGUUUUUUAACAAUAGACAAUGUUUAGCUGCACAAUCUAUGUAUAUAGUGCCAGUUACACUGUGGAACUGAAGAAAAACACAUAGACAUUGCUGUGGCAAACUACAGCGACAUCUACCGCAGUCCCCACAGGACAAACUGUAGCGUGCCAGCAGCUGUCUCCACACCAUCAUCAGCAACAACAGAGAUUAAGUUGCAUUAAGACCCACAGAUGCAAGUGGACCAGCAAACGCCAAAGGAAGAUAUCCUCAAACACAGGACUAGAGAGUUCUCCUGUGAGGGCCGGGCUGAAAGCAGCCCCUGGAACCGGCCUGCGGUGUGAAAGUGCUGCUGUGCCCCAGCAGUGAUCGGUGCGGUUGUGGUGUUAAAGGGACAAUGAUCGCACCGCCGGCGCAGCCUCGUCGAGCACGAACCACGCCCUCUCUGAGGAUCCUGCUGUUGAAACCGCGGAGGAAGCGAAGGAACCAGCGGAGGCAGACAUCAAUGAACUCUGUAAAGACAUGUUCAGCAAAAUGGCCACUUACUUAACAGGUGAACUGA